rnacentral:rRNA from 1 species
UGACUGAGCGGCGGACGGGUGAGUAACGCGUGGGUAACCUGCCUCAUACAGGGGGAUAACAGUUAGAAAUGACUGCUAAUACCGCAUAAGACCACAGGGCCGCAUGGCCCGGUGGUAAAAACUCCGGUGGUAUGAGAUGGACCCGCGUCUGAUUAGCUGGUUGGUGGGGUAACGGCCUACCAAGGCAACGAUCAGUAGCCGACCUGAGAGGGUGACCGGCCACAUUGGGACUGAGACACGGCCCAAACUCCUACGGAAGGCAGCAG